CGUGGAGCCCGUCACGGAGGAGCGUCCAGGCUGCACGGGGCAGAAGGGCCACGGCACAGGAGCCAGUGCCCAGGCCCCACCUUCCUCCAUCAGAACAGCUGCUCCCAGAGCCGCCCCUCUGCAGACCCCUGGGGCGGGCGUGUGCCCGACGGUCUGAAGGGAGAUCUGUGUCCAGCAAGAGAGCUCAGCACAGGGGCAGGAGUGAGCCCGUCCCUCCAGCUGAGGUGAGUGAGCCCCACUGGCUGCUGGAAGGGGGGAGUGCUCCUGGAGGUGGAGGGCUCCCCACACGCUCUGCUGGGGUUGGGUCAUGCUGAGUAGUGGGCACCAGACAGGAGGGAGAGGGGAGGUGAGAAGCCUCCAGGGAGAGGCCGGAGCUGGCCAGGCCCACCUCUGCACACCCACCGUCCGUCUGUGACCGCUGACGCUCCCUGGCUCCCCACGGGGCCACAGGCUCCGUCACACCUGCACCCUAGGCCAGGCCUGGUGGGAGGCACCUGAGAUCAGGGUCAGGGCUCCUGUCCAGCUGAGGCCCAGGAUGGCAGGUGAGCCCAGUCUGGUGUGCAGGAGGGUGGGGGGCGGGGGGGACAGGCCAUGGAGGCCCGUUCCUUGGCAAGCAGUGGUCCUGGGAAUUGUCCUUGGAAUUCCUCUUGGAGCGGGAGGAAGGCAUGGGAACUGGUGGCCCCGAUGGAGGUGCACUGUGACCAGGGAUCGUCCUGAGAUAGACCAAUCAUGGGGCCUCUGGGCUGUGGCUCGGCACCUCACACACAGAAAGCACUAAAUCAACGCACGACACCGCUGCCCGGUCCUCCCCACGGCUCCGGGGCCCGGGGCUCUCUGCAGGCGCGGGGUGCGCCCCGCUUUUCAA
rnacentral:lncRNA from 1 species